AUUGAACGCUGGCGGCAGGCCUAACACAUGCAAGUCGAGCGGACGGACGGAGAUUGCUCUCGGCUGCCGCGGGCGACGGGCGGGUGAGGAACAGGAGGAUAACUGACCUAGGAGGCUGGGGUCAGUACGGGGGAGCUAAUCCAGCACCCGACCAUAUGGUGAACGGGGGGGAUCAUUGGUGCUAGCGCUUUCUGAUGUCACUAGGACGGAUUAGCUAGUUGGAGGGGUAAAGGCCUACCAAGGCGACGAUCCGUAGCUGCUCUGAGAGGAUGAUCUGCCACACUGGAACUGAGACACGGUCCAGACUCCUACGGGAGGCAGCAGUGGGGAAUAUUGGACAAUGGGCGAAAGCCUGAUCCAGCCAUGCCGCGUGUGUGAAGAAGGUCUUCGGAUUGUAAAGCUCUUUUAGUUGGGAGGAAGAGCAGUAAGUGAAUACCUGGCUGUUUUGACGGUACCUACAGAAUAAGCACCGGCUAACUUCGUG
rnacentral:rRNA from 1 species